rnacentral:lncRNA from 1 species
CUUGAAGAUAAGCCCGUUCCUCUCUCUGGUAUAUUCUUUGCUUAAUAAAUCUUGUGGGGUGGUUAUUUGUGUGUCUCAUCCAAUUCUUUGUUCAUAACACCAAGAACCUGGAACUCCCAACUUCCAAUCUGGUAACAUAUUUUGGUGAGCCAGCCAGGAGGGUCAAGCCUGCAAUACCUAAAGCUCCAGACCUGGAACCCAAAGCUCCCAUCAGUCGCUACCCUGUGAACCUGUGGAGGAUCUGAAGUACCUGUUUAAAAGGCAUCCAAAAGAUAGAAUCUAUCAAGCUACAAAUGGCUAUGUUGCCUGAAGCCCCAGACAUCAUCCUACAAGAAAUAAGUCCAGACUUCUUAAUUUCCCCCUGGAUAGAGCAGGGUUGUUCAGCUCUGGCUCAAUGCAGCGAAAUAUUUUAAUCAUCAUUUGGCGGAUCAUAUCUUUCCUGUUCAGAAAACAGACAAGAAGUAUAAAGUUAUAA